GCUCGGUGUGGUGGCACAUACCUAUAGUCCCAAUUACUCAGGAGGCUGAGGUAGGAGGAUCACUUGAGCCCAGGAGGUCAAGGCUGCAGUGAGCUAUGAUCUUGCCACUGCACUCCAGCCUGGGCAACAGAGUGAGAUCUUAUCUCUA
ensembl:misc_RNA Metazoa_SRP Metazoan signal recognition particle RNA